rfam:Sus scrofa chromosome 10.
UUCUAGCUGCUCUAGUGGCUAAGAUUCCUGGUUUUCAUGCAGGCUGCCCAGGUUCAAUUCCUGAGCUGAGAA